rnacentral:rRNA from 1 species
AUGAGCUUUUGGGGAGCAUCAGUAAUUACAAGCUUAGCUAGCGCCAUACCAGUAGUAGGAGAUACCAUAGUGACUUGGCUUUGGGGUGGUUUCUCCGUGGACAAUGCCACCUUAAAUCAUUUUUUAGUCUCCAUCAUUUACUCGCCCUUGUUCUUCCUUUUGAUUUAAACGUUCUCCCCCCGGGAGCUGAGGAGUUCUGGCAGGGGCAGCCCCCUUUUCCAGAUCAUGAUUCUGGGGAGAGUGAUGAUUCAUCAACUGAUGAAUCGGAUCUCGACACGGAUUAUGACUUAA